rnacentral:rRNA from 1 species
GUGUCUAGGUAUAUCAGGUUGAAUGCAUCAGUUUCCAGCAGACCACUGAAGUUAAGCAACACUGAGCAUGGAUCGUACUUGGAUGGGUGAUUACAUCCAAAGCCAGCUGUGUUUCUCAUA